CCUACGGGGCGCAGCAGUGGGGAAUAUUGGACAAUGGGCGAAAGCCUGAUCCAGCCAUGCCGCGUGUGUGAAGAAGGCCUUCGGGUUGUAAAGCACUUUCAGUGGGGAAGAAAGCCUUGGGGCUAAUACCCUCGAGGAAGGACAUCACCCACAGAAGAAGCACCGGCUAACUCCGUGCCAGCAGCCGCGGUAAUACGGAGGGUGCGAGCGUUAAUCGGAAUUACUGGGCGUAAAGCGCGCGUAGGCGGUCUGAUAAGCCGGUUGUGAAAGCCCCGGGCUCAACCUGGGAACGGCAUCCGGAACUGUCAGGCUAGAGUGCAGGAGAGGAAGGUAGAAUUCCCGGUGUAGCGGUGAAAUGCGUAGAGAUCGGGAGGAAUACCAGUGGCGAAGGCGGCCUUCUGGAUUGACACUGACGCUGAGGUGCGAAAGCGUGGGUAGCAAACAGGAUUAGAUACCCGGGUAUC
rnacentral:rRNA from 1 species